AGGGCAUGAAUUAUUCGACAUCCAGAAAAAGUGCUCUCAACUUUGGAUGCUAUAUUUUUUUUUGUUAAGCUCUAUUCUAAAACCAUCAGCCUAAUUAGAAAACAAACAAUGACAUUUUACAGGCUGUUAGUCUUGCGGGUGGACGAGGGCCUUAUGGUAUUUAGAAAUGUUUGGAAAACAGCCGCGGUAUUUACGUUGAGGGCGAGUGCUACCCAGCUUGCGUGCACGCCACAUCUCGGAACGCUUGGAUUUUAACACCCUCGGUCUCCACGCUGAAAAAUGUGACUGCACGUCAUUACCCCAAUUUUCCUGGGUGCUAAUAUCUCAUCCGUUGCAAAUCGCUUCUCCUGGAGACUUGGCAGCAGGGGUGCAUUUUGAUAGAUUUUAAUUUGUGUCGAUUUCCUUUCCUGUUUUGUCUUUAAAACUUGCUCAGAGUCAGUCGGGUGCAAGGGAGAGAUGUUGGCUGUGCACACGGAGGCCUGCUCGAUGCUACAUGGUUCUGCCGAUGAAGCCGCGAGUGCGUCCACAUUCACGGCUCUUCAGCUUUUCUGUCCUGCGCGCAACAGAAGGCAUCUGCACCACAAGGAGGAUGCCACAAGAGCAUCAAAUUCAACAUUUUGAAGGCACUUGGAUUCAUCCCUCCCCAGAACUCGGAACAAACACUCUAGGAACUGGCAAAAGGGCGCGCGAGGAAUUACCCUAUAAAUUCACAUUGAACUGCCCUCAGUGGCAAGAGCAUCCAUUUAUCCGGGGAAACCUGGCCAAGAGGCAGCACCUGUUUUUCCAGGAGUCUCUCCCCACUUUUUCAGCUGUGUUUGCUGAAGUACAAAGAGGCCACCUGUCUUGCCUGAGGCUGAGCUGCGAAUAAAGUAGCUCUUCUGGGAUUAGAACCCAAGGCCCA
rnacentral:lncRNA from 1 species